rnacentral:rRNA from 1 species
CUCUAGAGAUAGAGUUUUCCCCUUCGGGGGACAAAGUGACAGGUGGUGCAUGGUUGUCGUCAGCUCGUGUCGUGAGAUGUUGGGUUAAGUCCCGCAACGAGCGCAACCCUUAAGCUUAGUUGCCAUCAUUAAGUUGGGCACUCUAAGUUGACUGCCGGUGACAAACCGGAGGAAGGUGGGGAUGACGUCAAAUCAUCAUGCCCCUUAUGAUUUGGGCUACACACGUGCUACAAUGGACAAUACAAAGGGCAGCUAAACCGCGAGGUCAAGCAAAUCCCAUAAAGUUGUUCUCAGUUCGGAUUGUAGUCUGCAACUCGACUACAUGAAGCUGGAAUCGCUAGUAAUCGUAGAUCAGCAUGCUACGGUGAAUACGUUCCCGGGUCUUGUACACACCGCCCGUCACACCACGAGAGUUUGUAACACCCGAAGCCGGUGGAGUAACCAUUUAUGGAGCUAGCCGUCGAAGGUGGGACAAAUGAUUGGGGUGAAGUCGUAACAAGGUAGCCGUAUCGGAAGGUGCGGCUGGAUCACCUCCUUU